ensembl:lncRNA
UCUUGAAUGGCUUAUUUAAGAUGGUUAGAAAGGCAUUUCAAAAAAUAACCAGUAAUGCCAGAAAUGCUUACUUGCAAGUCCUUAACCAACAAUGCUUUAAGAAGUUUAAAGAAAAAAAAGUGUUAAGUAAAAAAUAAAUAAGUGAAAAAAAAGUAACAAAUAAUUAAAGAGCAGCAGUAAAAUAUGUGGAGACUAUAUACAGGGAGGUACAGAGUCAAUGUGGAGGCUAUAUACAGGGAGUACAGGUACAGAGUCAAUGUGGAGGCUAUAUACAGGGGGUACAGGUACAGAGUCAAUGUGGAGGCUAUAUACAUGGGGUACAGGUACAGAGUCAAUGUGGAGGCUAUAUACAGGGGGUACCGGUACAGAGUCAAUGUGGAGGCUAUAUACAAGGUGUUACGGUACAGAGUCAAUGUGGAGGCUAUAUACAUGGGGUACAGGUACAGAGUCAAUGUGGAGACUAUAUACAGGGGGUACCGGUACAGAGUCAAUGUGGAGACUAUAUACAGUGG